UACAGAGGUCUCAAGCGUUGUUCGGAUUCAUUGGGCGUAAAGGGUGCGUAGGCGGCGCGGUAAGUCGGGUGUGAAAUCUUGGAGCUUAACUCCGAAACUGCAUUUGAUACUGCCGUGCUUGAGGACUGGAGAGGAGACUGGAAUUUACGGUGUAGCGGUGAAAUGUGUAGAGAUCGGGAGGAACACCGGUGGCGAAGGCGGGUCUCUGGGCAUCUCCUGACGCUGAGGCGCGAAAGCGUGGGGAGCAAACGGG
rnacentral:rRNA from 1 species